CACCAUCUUGCCCUCCAGAGACAGGAAGCGAUGCUCAAGAUUCUUUACCUUGGUUCCAUCAAAGACAAAGGCUGCAAAAAAUUGAAGCUGGAGUGUCCCUGACUCAAUAAAUGUCCUCAAACUAAA